GGUUUAGUAGCAUAGUGGUUAAUGCACCAGGAUAAAUUAUUGUGUUAACGUCCCAGUUAUUCUGACUACUCUUGUUCGACUCAAGGCUGGACCA